rnacentral:tRNA from 1 species
GCCCAGUUCGCUCAGUGGUAGAGCAUAAGAUUGGAAAUCUUAGCCUUUCGAGGCCCGCAGGUUCGAUUCCUGCACUGGGCG